rnacentral:tRNA from 1 species
AUAGCAUAAGCGCACCUGCUUUGGGAGCAGGGGGUCGUGGGUUCGAAUCCCGCU